ensembl:lincRNA Gm37223 predicted gene, 37223
GGGCUAACUCUGCCAUCUGUGUGGUGAGAGGGAGCUGCCACCGCUUGAUCUGUUCAUCUGUAAUGAGGGAGUCUUAGAAGCUUCACUCACCACAGUGAACUGUUGUAGGAGUUAAAGGGAGGCGUCUACAAAGCAUGCUGGGAACUGAAAAGGCCUUUCUGUAGAAUGAAGCAACAUUUUCAAAACUUACGAUUUAAGCCACAUUUCACUCUUGGGCAGAUGUUUAGAGAGGCGACAUAAUAUUCUUGACUCUCCUUCUUGCCCAUCCUCACCCCAAGAGUCACCCGACAUGCUCACCCUAUUCAGGGAAGGAGAUGCGUAUAUGUGUGAAGACAACAAGACAAAACAUGGUGCGUCGAAUGAGAGCUGAAGGCAGGACCUAGGAACUUUGCCUACAGUUGGUUCUGCUUGUGUCUACAUUUGAAACUUCCAUAACAAGGAGUUAGAUAGAGAUAGCCCCCAGAAGAAUAAAAACAAACAAAAAACCAAU